rnacentral:rRNA from 1 species
GACGAACGCUGGCGGCGUGCUUAACACAUGCAAGUCGAACGGAAAGGCCUGUCCUUCCUUGUGUUGGACGGGUACUCGAGUGGCGAACGGGUGAGUAACACGUGAGUGAUCUGCCCCCAACUUGGGUAUAAGCCUGGGAAACUGGGUCUAAUUCCCGAUAGGACUGCAGGGUGGUGCCUGUGGUGGAAAACGAUUUUCUAGUGGUUGGGGAUGAGCUCGCGGCCUAUCAGCUUGUUGGUGGGGUAAUGGCCUACCAAGGCGGCGACGGGUAGCCGGCCUGAGAGGGUGGACGGCCACAUUGGGACUGAGAUACGGCCCAGACUCCUACGGGAGGCAGCAGUGGGGAAUAUUGCACAAUGGGCGGAAGCCUGAUGCAGCGACGCCGCGUGGGGGAUGACGGCCUUCGGGGUGUAAACUCCUUUCGACCGCGAGGAAGCCGCCUGGUUGGAAGGGUGGUGACGGUAGUGGUAGAAGAAGCACCGGCUAACUACGU